rnacentral:snRNA from 1 species
GGAUGUGACAGCCAUCUGGCUGUGACAUAUGUCACCCUAUUGAUCACCAGGGUUGACUCAGCUGAUCUGGAUGGCUAGGUGGGUGUCCCCUCCCUCCUUCACGGCUCCAUGUGUGUCCCUCCCAAAGCUGUGUGCCCGGUCCAAGAGGACAACCAUUCCCAAUAGAGGAGGACUGUUCUUUGGUCAAGGGUAUACAAGUAGCUGUGCUCCCAUUAAAACCUCCAAACGCUCUCAAAAUAGGGUCUACUGGACCUGAGUAGCCUCCUGAGUAGCUAGGAUUACAGGCGUGAGACACCGGCACCAGCUCAGGCUCAGAUAUUCACUUCUUAAAAUAUUUUUACUAAGUUUACU